CUUACUGAGAGUUCCUUGGCAUUCUGUCCACCUCCCUUCUUGACGAUCUUGCAGAAAGUUUGCUUUUUUUGUUUGUUUGGAGGUGGGCAUACUGCCAAUGGAGCUGCGUAGG
rnacentral:pre_miRNA from 7 species